GUGAGGAAUAUUGCGCAAUGGAGGCAACUCUGACGCAGCCAUGCCGCGUGCAGGAAGAAGGCGCUACGCGUUGUAAACUGCUUUUAACCGGGAAGAAACCCCAGGACGUGUCCUGGGUUGACGGUACCGGAGGAAUAAGCACCGGCUAACUUCGUGCCAGCAGCCGCGGUAAUACGAAGGGUGCAAGCGUUAUCCGGAUUCAUUGGGUUUAAAGGGUGCGUAGGCGGAGCGUUAAGUCAGUGGUGAAAUCCUGCAGCUUAACUGUAGACUUGCCAUUGAUACUGGCGCUCUUGAGUGCGCUUGAAGUGGGCGGAAUGUGCCGUGUAGCGGUGAAAUGCUUAGAUAUAGCACAGAACACCAAUUGCGAAGGCAGCUCACUAAGGCGAUACUGACGCUGAGGCACGAAAGCGUGGGGAUCGAACAGGAUUAGAAACCCCUGUAGUCC
rnacentral:rRNA from 1 species